rnacentral:rRNA from 1 species
UACGUAGGGUGCAAGCGUUGUCCGGAAUUACUGGGCGUAAAGCGCGCGUAGGCGGCUUUGUAAGUUAGAGGUGAAAGCCCGGGGCUCAACCCCGGAACUGCCUUUAAGACUGCAUCGCUUGAAUCCAGGAGAGGUGAGUGGAAUUCCGAGUGUAGAGGUGAAAUUCGUAGAUAUUCGGAAGAACACCAGUGGCGAAGGCGGCUCACUG